AGCUCCAAUAGCGUAUAUUAAAGUUGUUGCAGUUAAAAAGCUCGUAGUUGGAUUUCUGGCUAGGUGAAGCGUUCCCCAAGUUGGGUGCGAUGCGGCGCCUUGCCAUCCUUCUGUUAACCUGGGAAGCCUUCACGGCGGCCCACGGGGCUCAGAUAUUUUACCUUGAGAAAAUUAGAGUGUUUCAGGCAGGCUAGCGCCGGAAUACAUUAGCAUGGAAUAAUAGAAUAGGACUUCUGCCUCUUCUGUUGGUCUGAGGGGUUCAAGUAAUGAUUAAUAGGGAUAGUUGGGGGCAUUAGUACUUAACUGUCAGAGGUGAAAUUCUCGGAUUUGUUAAAGACUAACUUAUGCGAAAGCAUUUGCCAAGGAUGUUUUCAUUA
rnacentral:rRNA from 1 species